UUCAAAAUCAUAAGUCUACGGAGGUGAAUCCGAAACCUCUAGAAGGUUAACAUAGGCUUUCCACUCGCUAUUCUUACUCAAUACGUCCCCGUCGUACAGAACGGUAACUUGUCUCUGAAUUUCCCAUGCUUGGAUGUACGUGGAAACCCAACCCCUUGGGCGGAUGGUUUGCAUGGCUAAAUUGAAAGGG
rnacentral:ribozyme from 1 species